GCCCGGGUGGCUCGGUCGGUUAAGCGUCUGACUUCAGCUCAGGUCAUGAUCUUAGGGUCUGUGAGUUCAAGCCCCUCCUUGGGCU
rfam:Felis catus isolate Cinnamon breed Abyssinian chromosome A2, whole genome shotgun sequence.